GGGGCAAUGAUGAAAUGGCAGCCAUGAGGGUCUUAAAAACCCUUGCCUUCGGGCGUGUGGGUUCGAAUCCCACUUGCCUCA
rnacentral:tRNA from 1 species